GGCAGAGUGGCCGAGCGGUCUAAGGCGCUAGUUUAAGGCACUAGUAUCUUCGGAUGCGUGGGUUCGAAUCCCACCUCUGUCA
rnacentral:tRNA from 1 species